UACGUAGGGGGCAAGCGUUGUCCGGAAUCAUUGGGCGUAAAGCGCGUGUAGGCGGCCCGAUAAGUCCGCUGUGAAAGUCCAGGGCUCAACCCUGGGAUGCCGGUGGAUACUGUCGGGCUCGAGUCCGGAAGAGGAGUGUGGAAUUCCCAGUGUAGAGGUGAAAUCGUUAGAUAUUGGGAAGAACACCGGUGGCGAAGGCGGCGCUCUGGACCGAGACUGACGCUGAGGCGCGAAAGCGUGGGGAGCAAACAGGG
rnacentral:rRNA from 1 species